rnacentral:rRNA from 1 species
GAAUUCGCCCUUAGAGUUUGAUCCUGGCUCAGGACGAACGCUGGCGGCGCGCCUAACACAUGCAAGUCGAACGAGCGAGAGAGAGCUUGCUUUCUCGAGCGAGUGGCGAACGGGUGAGUAACGCGUGAGGAACCUGCCUCAAAGAGGGGGACAACAGUUGGAAACGACUGCUAAUACCGCAUAAGCCCACGACCCGGCAUCGGGUAGAGGGAAAAGGAGCAAUCCGCUUUGAGAUGGCCUCGCGUCCGAUUAGCUAGUUGGUGAGGUAACGGCCCACCAAGGCGACGAUCGGUAGCCGGACUGAGAGGUUGAACGGCCACAUUGGGACUGAGACACGGCCCAGACUCCUACGGGAGGCAGCAGUGGGGAAUAUUGCACAAUGGGGGAAACCCUGAUGCAGCGACGCCGCGUGGAGGAAGAAGGUCUUCGGAUUGUAAACUCCUGUUGUUGGGGAAGAUAAUGACGGUACCCAACAAGGAAGUGACGGCUAACUACGUGCCAGCAGCCGCGGUAAAACGUAGGUCACAAGCGUUGUCCGGAAUUACUGGGUGUAAAGGGAGCGCAGGCGGGAAGACAAGUUGGAAGUGAAAUCCAUGGGCUUAACCCAUGAACUGCUUUCAAAACUGUUUUUCUUGAGUAGUGCAGAGGUAGGCGGAAUUCCCGGUGUAGCGGUGGAAUGCGUAGAUAUCGGGAGGAACACCAGUGGCGAAGGCGGCCUACUGGGGCACCAACUGACGCUGAGGCUCGAAAGUGUGGGUAGCAAACAGGAUUAGAUACCCUGGUAGUCCACACCGUAAACGAUGAUUACUAGGUGUUGGAGGAUUGACCCCUUCAGUGCCGCAGUUAACACAAUAAGUAAUCCACCUGGGGAGUACGACCGCAAGGUUGAAACUCAAAGGAAUUGACGGGGGCCCGCACAAGCAGUGGAGUAUGUGGUUUAAUUCGACGCAACGCGAAGAACCUUACCAAGUCUUGACAUCCUGUGACAGACGUAGAAAUACGUUCUUCCUUCGGGACACAGAGAACAGGUGGUGCAUGGUUGUCGUCGGCUCGUGUCGUGAGAUGUUGGGUUAAGUCCCGCAACGAGCGCAACCCUUAUGGUCAGUUACUACGCAAGAGGACUCUGGCCAGACUGCCGUUGACAAAACGGAGGAAGGUGGGGAUGACGUCAAAUCAUCAUGCCCUUUAUGACUUGGGCUACACACGUACUACAAUGGCGUUAAACAAAGAGAAGCAAGACCGCGAGGUGGAGCAAAACUCAGAAACAACGUCCCAGUUCGGACUGCAGGCUGCAACUCGCCUGCACGAAGUCGGAAUUGCUAGUAAUCGUGGAUCAGCAUGCCACGGUGAAUACGUUCCCGGGCCUUGCACUCACCGCCCGUCA